GACGAACGCUGGCGGCGUGGAUUAGGCAUGCAAGUCGAACGGUAUCAUCCUUUCGGGGGUGAGAGAGUGGCGAACUGGUGAGUAACACGUAGGUUAUCUACCCUCAAGACGGGGACAACCCAGGGAAACUUGGGCUAAUACCAGAUGUGAGCAACUUUUAGUUGUUUGAAAGGUGGCGUAAGCUGUCGCUUGGGGAUGAGCCUGCGUCCUAUUAGUUAGUUGGUGAGGUAACGGCUCACCUAGGCAAUGAUAGGUAGGCGGCCUUAACGGGUGGUCGCCCACACUGGGAUUGAGAUACGGCCCAGACUCCUACGGGAGGCAGCAGUCGAGAAUAGUCUACAAUGGUCGGAAGACUGAUAGUGCGACGCCGCGUGAACGAUGAAUCCCUUCGGGUGUAAAGUUCUUUUAUAUGUGAGCAGUGCUUCUUAUAUUAACAGUAUGGGGAGAGAGAUAUUAGCAUAUGAAUAAGCAACGGCUAACUCCGUGCCAGCAGCCGCGGUAAA
rnacentral:rRNA from 1 species